rnacentral:lncRNA from 1 species
AAUUUGGUCCAGGCUCCUUUUCUGUUUUUUUGAGAGGUAGGUAGCAUGCUACCCGAUUCAUUUAUUUCAUUUAGAAAUAAAUUUAGCUAAAAAUGUGAAUUAAUUAGGAUCCGAACUUGGGACCUCGGGUACUAAUCACCAAACCCUUUGCCACUUGCACUGGGACAGUUGGUGGUCUAGGCUCCCUUAAACUUAUUUAAAUUAUAUCUAGCAUGACUAAAUCUGCAUUUUAUUAAUUUAGUUUAAGUUUGGUUCAUUACAAGCACAGUAUAGAAAGUGAAAAAAUCUCGAAAGUAUAAUAUAUGCGUUUGGUUCGGAUAUAAGUGAGAACUGCUUAUUUCAGGGAUAGGUACAAGUUCAGGUAUAAACAGCAACUAGAUCAAUUUUGCAUUUGGAUGAAAAUUGGGUUGUUCCUAAGAAUAAGGUAAAUAGUGUUUGGAUGGUUAGAUUGGAACAAAGGAAAUAAGAGUUAUAAUUUUAAAUUAAAAUUAUUUUAUCUAAUUAAUUAACAUCAAAAUAUUACUUAAAAAAUAAAUUAAUAUUAAUAAUUAUAAAAUAAUAAAUAAAUUAAUUAAUAAUAAAUUAUAAAUAAUUAUAAAUAAUCAAUUAAUUGAUAAAAAAUUAAUUAGAUAAUAAAUUAUAAAUAACAAAUUAUUAAUAAUUAUAAAUUAUAAAUUAAUUAAUAAUUUGUAGUGUCCCUAGGGUUUAGUUGACGGAAUGACUAUAGAAUCAGCGACUAAUCGACACAUCUGGAGAGUGUCGGACUGAUUCGGAGUCGUUUUUGUACGAAAUAGAUGCAGAAAUGGACUUGACGCACUCAAAUGAGUAAAACUAGAGUUUUGCCAGUUUAGGGCACCC